ACCUGGUGCGUACGGAGAUCGAACCCUCUCCUCCGAACCCCUCCUUUCGCCUUCCCCGCCUCCUCCCCUCCGCCUCGAGCACCGCGCGCGCGCAUUCGGUCCCAGCCACCGCUAACACUACAGGCUGCUUACCCCCGCCCCCUCCACCCUACCCCUGGCGGCCUCAGGCGACGCCGAGUGAGGCUGAGGCUGGGGGCGAAUCGCCGCAGAGCUGCGUGUCGGCGGCGCAUUCUGAUUGGACAGCGGGGAAGCCCGUCAGCCUGUUGGCCCCGCUGAUCCCGCCCCGUAGCGCAGGGCAGCCUUUAACCUUUAGCCCCAGUGGGCGCCAGCCACUCAGAUCGCUUCUUGUUGGUAUGUGUAGCGGCAGUGGCCGCCGGCGGAGCAGUCUGAGCCCGACGAUGAGGCCGGGGACGGGAGCUGAGCGUGGAGGCCUCAUGAUGGGGCACCCUGGCAUGCAUUAUGCCCCAAUGGGAAUGCACCCUAUGGGUCAGAGAGCGAAUAUGCCUCCUGUACCUCAUGGAAUGAUGCCGCAGAUGAUGCCCCCUAUGGGAGGGCCACCAAUGGGACAA
rnacentral:lncRNA from 1 species